UACGGAGGAUCCAAGCGUUAUCCGGAAUCAUUGGGUUUAAAGGGUCCGUAGGCGGGUUUGUAAGUCAGUGGUGAAAGUCUGCAGCUCAACUGUAGAACUGCCAUUGAUACUGCACACCUUGAGUAAUUAUGAAGUGGUUAGAAUAUGUAGUGUAGCGGUGAAAUGCAUAGAUAUUACAUAGAAUACCGAUUGCGAAGGCAGAUCACUAAUAAUUUACUGACGCUGAUGGA
rnacentral:rRNA from 1 species